GGUAGGACUACCCGCUGAACUUAAGCAUAUCAAUAAGCGGAGGAAAAGAAACUAACAAGGAUUCCCCUAGUAACGGCGAGUGAAGCGGGAAGAGCUCAAAUUUGUAAUCUGGCGGUCCCAGGCCGUCCGAGUUGUAGUCUGGAGAAGCGUCUUCCGUGCCGGACCGUGUACAAGUCCCUUGGAACAGGGCCUCAUAGAGGGUGAGAAUCCCGUCUUUGACACGGACUGCCGGUGCUCUGUGAUGCGCUCUCGAAGAGUCGAGUUGUUUGGGAAUGCAGCUCAAAAUGGGUGGUAAUUCCAUCUAAAGCUAAAUAUUGGCGAAAGACCGAUAGCGAACAAGUACCGUGAGGGAAAGAUGAAAAGCACUUUGGGAAAGAGAGUUAAACAGUACGUGAAAUUGUUGAAAGGGAAACGCUUGAAGUCAGUCGCGUCUUCCAGGACUCAGUCGGACMCUCGUGUCUGAUGUACUUCYKGGUGUGACGGGCCAGCAUCGAUUUCGACSGUCGGAGAAAGSCUCUGGGMAUGUGGCACCUUCGGGUGUGUUAUAGCCCUGGRUCGUAUGCRACGGUCGGGAUCGAGGAUCGCAGCACRSCWUCAUUGGCMRGRGUUCGCCCACGCAMSGUGCCUUUAGGAAUGCUGGGCGYAAUGGCUUUAAGCGACCCGUCUUGAAACACGGACCAAGGAGUCUAACAUGCCUGCGAGUGUUUGGGUGGAAAACCCGGACGCGCAAUGAAAGUGAAAGGUUGGGACCUCUGUCGUGGAGGGCACCGACGCCCGGACCAGACCUUCUGUGACGGUUCCGAGGUAGAGCAUGUAUGUUGGGACCCGAAAGAUGGUGAACUAUGCCUGAGUAGGGUGAAGCCAGAGGAAACUCUGGUGGAGGCUCGUAGCGAUUCUGACGUGCAAAUCGAUCGUCGAACUUGGGUAUAGGGGCGAAAGACAAUCGAACCAUCUAGUGCCAC
rnacentral:rRNA from 1 species